rnacentral:rRNA from 1 species
GACGAACGCUGGCGGCGUGCUUAACACAUGCAAGUCGAACGGUGAUGCUCCAGCUUGCUGGAGUGGAUCAGUGGCGAACGGGUGAGUAACACGUGAGCAACCUGCCCCAGACUCUGGAAUAAGCGCUGGAAACGGCGUCUAAUACUGGAUACGAAACUGGCCCGCAUGGGCAUGGUUUGGAAAGUUUUUCGGUUUGGGAUGGGCUCGCGGCCUAUCAGCUUGUUGGUGAGGUAAUGGCUCACCAAGGCGACGACGGGUAGCCGGCCUGAGAGGGCGACCGGCCACACUGGGACUGAGACACGGCCCAGACUCCUACGGGAGGCAGCAGUGGGGAAUAUUGCACAAUGGGCGAAAGCCUGAUGCAGCGACGCCGCGUGAGGGAUGACGGCCUUCGGGUUGUAAACCUCUUUCAGCAGGGAAGAAGCGAAAGUAACGGUACCUGCAGAAGAAGCACCGGCUAACUACGUG